AUCGCGCCGGGCUCCUGGGGCCGCUGCGCCGAAGGAACGCAGGCUGGGGGCCGCGACGUACCGUUCCUGACAGGCGAGUUGUAGCGGCCCGGCUCGUGUACGCACGCAGCUGCGUUCCGAGGUGUGGAGUCUGGCUAAGAUCCCAGAGCAUAUUGUCAUCCCUGGUCUGUCUCCCUCGGAGCCUCAAUCCCGUGAACUCACCCUUCACAACAGGCGCUUUGCAUGUUUGGAAAGAUGCUGCCUUUGGGGAAAGCGUUUGCCACCCCCAGGAACUCCCCAACUCCCCUGGAACUGCCCACACUGGAGUCAACAGCUGGGGACCAGUAGGAGGGGCCCAAGACCAACCCUGGAAGGGCUCCUGCUGACCUCGAGUUCUCCUGCCUCCACUUCCGGAACUUUGUCUACCAGGAGGUGGCUCGGUCCCACCAGGCCCUGGCCCGGCUCCGGGACCUGUGUUGAGAGUGGCUGCAGCCUGAGGUGCACUCCAAGGAACACAUGAUGGAGCUGCUGGUGAUGGAGCAGUUCUUGGGCAUCCUACUCCACAAGCUCCAGCCCAGGGUGGUGGCAGAGCAGCCCACGAGCUGCAAGAAGGCAGCCUUCCUGGUGGAGGACCUCACCAAGGCCCUGGCGGAGCCAGGUGAGGCCACCUCCCCAGAGGAGAGUAUGCCUUUGAGGAAUGGGAGGGGAUCAGCCCUGGAAGGAGUGACAUUGACAGCAUGGAGCCCAGACCCCAGCCAGCGGGUUACCUGAGAGAGUUCAGUUCCCUCAUGUAUAAGAGGCACAGAAGCUAAACACUCUGAGCUGGUGGGGCAGCUCCUCAGUCAGCAGGGAUCUGGCCCCCACCACCCUGCCCAGGGGCAUCACCCUCAUGGGCCAGGAAGGCUGCUUGGGUUUCUGCCCUCACAUCUGCCUUCCAGAUGUAAGGAAGCAGGAGGAAGCAGCCCCUUAAAAACUAAGUGGGCCGGCGAGAGCCAGCGAAGACGUGGAACCCAGUAAGACCCAGGCACCCCCGAGACCUGUGAGUGACCAACCAGCUCUUGGGUUCUAUAAUGAAGCAUUAGCGGCCACUCACGGCUGAAGGUCCUCAACAGUGAUUAACUCCACACUUCCCUACU